rnacentral:rRNA from 1 species
GUUAGGAAUAUUGGACAAUGGGCGCAAGCCUGAUCCAGCCAUGCCGCGUGAGUGAUGAAGGCCUUCGGGUUGUAAAGCUCUUUAGCCGAUGAUUAUAAUGACUGUAGUCGGAAAAUAAGCCCCGGCUAACUUCGUGCCAGCAGCCGCGGUAAUACGAAGGGGGCGAGCGUUAUUCGGAAUCACUGGGCGUAAAGCGUGCGUAGGCGGCUUUGCAAGUUGGGAGUGAAAGCCCAGGGCUCAACCCUGGAAUUGCUCUCAAAACUGCAAGGCUCGAAUUCGGGAGAGGAUAGCGGAAUUGUCAGUGUGGCAGUGAAAUGCGUAGAUAUUGACAGGAACACCAGUGGCGUAAGCGGCUAUCUGGACCGAUAUUGACGCUGAGGCACGAAAGCGUGGGGAUCAAACAGGAUUAGAUACCCCUGUAGUCC